ensembl:lncRNA
GCUAAUUUUUUAAUUUUUGUGGAGAUAGGGUCUCACACUAUGUUGCCUAGGCUGGUCUCGAACUCCUGGCCUCAAAACGAUCCUCCCACCUCAACCUACAUGUGAUCUUUCAAACUCAAAGUAAUUCACAGGAAGAGUCAACUCAAUCAUUUGAAACACCAGGUAGAAAUAAGAAAAAGUUGUAUCACAGGGAUCCCGCUUGAAGAUGUUGGGGCCUAGGGCAAGGGAUCCAGCUGCACCUGAAAGAAGGGAGGAGAUUUGCCCAGGAAGAUAGGAGCCAGUAAAGUGGCCUGACCACAGUGGGUGGUGGGGGUGAGGGACUGGUGGUGGAGCGUCAGUGGGAAAUAUCACUCCUCAUAUUUGCAAGAAGCGUACCACCGUUGGAGGGUGGCUUAGGUGGCGGGCAGACCAAGUUCAGAUCACAAUAUAGCCACUAACUUGGAAGAUGUGCACUGAACUUUUUUGUUCAUUGGCAAAAUGGGUGUGAUAGUAGUCUUUAUCUCGAGGGUCGUUGGAGACUGAAUGAAAUGUCUGCAAGACUUUCAGCACAUUGGGAUGUCAUUAGCCCUGUGCAGUUAGCUACUAUUCUUAUUUUAUUGAGUUGACAGAUGUGUUGAGACCGUGCUGUGUACCAGGUCCUAUUCUAGGCACUGAGGAUUCAGCAGUCAACAAGACAGACAAGAUCCUUGCUGUCCUAGGGUUUACAUUCUAGCCAUUCUAGCCCGGGAAGACAUGCAAUAAACAGGAUCACUUCACUUUGUUUUUUUGAGAUGGAGUCUCGCUGUCACCCAGGCUGGCACAAUCUCAGCUCACUGCAACCUCUGCCUUCCAAGUUCAAGCCAAUCUCCUGCCUCAGGCUCCCGAGUAACUGGGACUACAGGCAUGCGCCACUAUGCCCCGCUGAUUUUUGCAUUUUUAGUAGGGGAAGGGUUUUGCCAUGUUAGCCAGGCUGGUCUCAAACUCCUGACCUUGGGUGAUCCACCUACCUCGGUCUUGUACAGUGCUGGGAUUACAGGCAUGAGCCACUGGGCCCAGCCUCUUUUUUUUUUUUUAAAUAAAGAAAAAUCCUGAUCCUGCCUCUUCAGAUAGUUUUAACUGUGAUGGAGAAAAUUUAACAGGGUAAGUGGAGAGAAAAUGGCUGAUGGGGCAAGAUGGCAGUGGUUACUUUAGCUUGGAUGGUCAGGGAAGACCUCCCAGGCCUCUUUGAAGAGUCAUGUUAACUGAGACCUUAAUGAGCAGUGGCACUGGCUAUGCCAAAAGUUGGGGAAAGAACGUUCCAGGCAGAGGGGACAGCAAGUGUUAAGGUCCGGAGGUGGGAGUGAGUUUGCUAUAAAGAGUAUCAGUGUGACUGGAGAAGGGUAAAUUCCUAGUUUUCAAGUUUAUACCACUUUAAGUUCUUUUUCUUUUUCUUUUCCUUUUCUUUUCUUUUCUUUUUUUUUUUGUGAAGGGUCUGCUCUGCCGCCCAGGCUGGAGUGCAGUGGCAUGAUCUCAGCUCACUGCAACCUCCGCUUCCUGGGCUCAAGUGAUCCUCCUGCCUCAGCCUCCCAAAGAGCUGGGAUUACAGGAAUGUGCCACCACAUCUGGCUAAUUUUUUUUGGUACUUUUAGUAGAGGAGACAGGAUUUCAUCAUGUUGGCCAGGCUGGUUUCAAACUCCUGACCUCAGGUGAUCUGCCCACUUCGGUCUCCCAAAGCGCUGGGAUUACAGGUGUGAGCCGCCACACCCGGCCAUAUUUUUUCUUUUUUUUGUGGAGACCCGUUUUGCCCAGGCUGAUCUUGAACUUCUGGACUGAAGUGAUCCUCACCCUCGGCCUUCCAAAGUGCUGAAAUUACAGGCACGAGCCACCAUACCUAGCCUACUUUUUUAUAAAAUAAUAAUAAUGGUAGCAGCUUACCUAGUGCUUACUCUGUGCUAGAUGCUCUUCUAAGCAUUUCACACAUUCCUCAGUUAAUCCUGACAGUAGUCCAAUGAAGUAAUCAACUUGAUCGAACUCAUUUUACAGGUGAGGAAACUGAUUCCGCCCUCCAUGCUCUUUACCUACAUUCUAAGCUCUCUUCCUAGGCCCUCCUUACUAGGCAGAGGCAAAUUGAGGAAGCGGACACAGCAUUUCGUGUCCUUGUUGUUUGACAUGCAAAGCACUUUAGACUGUGUUUAGUACCCAAUUCAUGUGGCAGCAGGGGCGGCCUGGGAUGUUGUGGCAUCAUUUUUGCUCUCAAUGAGACAGGGAUGGUUUGGUGGUGGUUUCAAAACUAAAGACCCUCCAGCAGAGCCUGUCAAGUAGAACAAGACUGACUGAUUGCCAUACCAGGCACAGGUUAGCAUGAAACAAAGUGUAGUGUCUGAGGGAGCAGGGUGUCUCCUUUGGGUGAGCUUUGCAAGGGGACUUGGGACUUGGCUGGAAAAGGUGUUUUUUUCUUUUUUUUUUGAGUCGGAGGCUUGCUCUGUCGCUCACGCUGAAGUGUAAUGGUGUGAUCUGGGCUCACUGCAACCUCUGCUUCCUGGGUUCAAGCGAUUCUCCUUCCUCAGCCUCCUGAGUACCUGGAGUUACAGGCAUCCACCGCCACUCCCAGGUAAUUUCUGUAUUUUUAGUAGAGACGGGGUUUCACCAUGUUGGCCAGGCUGGCCUUCAACUCCUCAUCUCAAGUGAUCUGCUGGCCUCGGCCUCCCAAAAUGUUGAGAUUACAGAUGUGAGCCACUGCACCCAGCUGGAAAUGGUGUUUGAAGCACACUAGCCGUGUGGACUGUUAAAGUAUCACACUAUGGCCCAGCAACUAAGACAAUGAUUCCUGGACCUGUAAGGGCCCCAGGUCCCUGCUCCAGCACCAUGACCUGUGUGUACUUUGAUUUGCUGCAGCCUAGGCCUUAUGGGUUACUAAAUAUUUUGAAUGAAGGAUAGCCCUGAUUAGAUGUGAGGACAGUAGUGGGUGCUUUUAAGACUAAAAAUAUUGGGUGGGCAUGGUGGCUCAUGCUUGUAAUCCCAGCACUUUGGGAGGCUGAGGUGGGAGGAUUACUUCAGGCCAGAAGUUCACGACCAGUCUGGGCAACAUAAUGAGACCCCAUCUCUGCAAAACAAAAAGUUUUUGUUUUUGAGACAGAUUCUCACUUUAUUGCCCAGGCUGGAGUAUAGUGGUGUGAUCAUAUCUCACUGCAGCCUCUGCUUCAUGGGUUCAGAUGAUUAUCCUGCCUUAGCCUCCCCAGUAGCUAGGAUUCCAGGUGCCUGCCACCACACUCGGGUAAGUUUUGUAUUUUUACCUGGCCAACAUGGUGAAACCACAUCUCUACUUAAAUACAAAAAAUUAGCCGGGUGUGGUGGCACGUGCCUGUUAUCCCAGCUACUUGGGAGACUGAGUCAGAGAAUCACUUGAACCCUGGAGGUGACGGUUGCAGUGAACUGAGAUUGUGCCACUGCACUCCAGCCUGGGCAACAGAGCAAGACUCCUUCUCCAAAAAAAAA